rnacentral:rRNA from 1 species
AUUGAACGCUGGCGGCAUGCCUUACACAUGCAAGUCGAACGGUAACAGGUCUUCGGAUGCUGACGAGUGGCGAACGGGUGAGUAAUACAUCGGAACGUGCCCGAGAGUGGGGGAUAACGAAGCGAAAGCUUUGCUAAUACCGCAUACGAUCUCAGGAUGAAAGCAGGGGACCGCAAGGCCUUGCGCUCACGGAGCGGCCGAUGGCAGAUUAGGUAGUUGGUGGGAUAAAAGCUUACCAAGCCGACGAUCUGUAGCUGGUCUGAGAGGACGACCAGCCACACUGGGACGGAGACACGGCCCAGAGUCCUACGGGAGGCAGCAGUGGGGAAUGUUGGACAAUGGGCGCAAGCCUGAUCCAGCCAUGCCGCGUGCAGGAUGAAGGCCUUCGGGUUGUAAACUGCUUUUGUACGGAACGAAAAGACUCCUUCUAAUAAAGGGGGUCCAUGACGGUACCGUAAGAAUAAGCACCGGCUAACUACGUGCCAGCCGCCGCCGUAAGAC